GCAUGCCUGUGGUCCCAGCUACUUAGGAGCCUGAGGCAGGAUGAUCACUUGGGCCUGGGAGAUUGAAGCUGCAGUGAGCCAUGAUCACACCACCUCAUUACAGCCUGGGCCACAGAGGGAGACCGUGUCUCAAAAAACAACAAAACAAAAAACGGUAAAUUCUGAAUGGUAAUUUUCCUAGUUCACAUAUAUGUUACCAUGUAGUUCUCUGCAGGUUCCCAAGAUGGUUUCCUUUAGAAACAAAAUAAUACCUUGCACAUUGCUGGUUCAUUAUUUACUUUGCCCUUUGUUCAGGUGACCUCUGCUCCGUUUCUCUGGCACUGGGAUUAACCAGUGGCUCCACAGUUCAACAGGGAAUUCUUUUUAUUUUUUAAUGUAGCCUAAUGCUUCUGGUUUUAAAUAUUGAGAGAGUUAAAGUGAUACUGAACAGUUUGCCUUUUUGCUUUUGUUGGUACUGGUUUGCUAUGAUUCAUCAGACUUUUAAUUACUUUAACAGAUAAACAAGAAUUUCAGUUAUGUUAAGUUCUGUGUUUUCUAAACCAAGACGAAAGGGGAAGGCUUAUGGUACGAUCAAGAGUACAAAAGGAACUAUUAGGCAAUGUCUGCUUUACUUUCUAUUCAAGUUUGAACUAUGUAGGAAUUCAGAUGAAACAAUUUGAAUAUUAGAACACUUGGGAAUAAAAAAUGUUUCAGAAUAUAAGACAUUUUAAUGUACCUUUGUGUGUGUGUGUGUGUGUCAGCCAUUAAAAUAAGCAUUUGGCUCAUUGUCCCAGGGUCUUAACAAGAUUUAGGAAGAAACUGAUGGAAAUAGUAACCAUCCUAGAAUCUGCCCUUGAGGCUCUGGUGCCCAGCCCUGUCUGGUUUCUUUCAUUUCCUUGAAUAUAGUGUGUUUCCUCCUUUCACUUGGCUGUGGCACGAGCUAUUCUAGUUGACUGAAAUAUUCUUUUUUCAUUCUUUGGAAUUCAGCUCAGAUGUUACUUCCUCAAGAAAGCCUCAGAGCUUCUCCUCUUGGAUAGGUCAGAUUACAUUCGCUGGGCACCCUGAGCUUCUUCCUCAUCUAUAGAAAACAUUUAUCAUCAUUGUAUGCUCCACGCAGGCAGGGAUAUGUCUAGUUAUUCAGGGCUCUAAGCCAGGCACUAAGAGCAGAGCACACAGUAGACACUCAAUAAAUAUCUGUUGAAUGAAGUCAACCUAUAUUAAGUGCCAAGUGCAUUGCUUCAUUUACUCCUCAGCAUAACCUUUUAGGUAGAUACCCCCAUUUACAGAUGAAAAAACAGAUAACUUGCUCAAGGUCACAGACUCAACCAAUGACACAACCAGGACUUGACCAUGUCACUUUGAUGCCAAAGCCAGUGUUUCAAUUUGUCUUUUACUUUCUUUGUUGCAAGCAGUUAUCCCACUGAAAAUCCAGUGUUCUAAGCUUUGUACUUUGGUAUUAUCUUUCAGUGUAAUGACAUUUCAUCAUUUCAACCUGUGGCUUUUCCUAUUUCUCAAUCACUAGACUGACCAAUAGUGAGAUGGUUGGAUUAAGGAGGUUCCAAUUCUGGGGAGAUGACAGAGGAAGGAGAUUCAUGUUCCAGAGCUUAGGAAGCAGUAGGUGUGCAUUCGACCUCACUGCAUCAAUAACUUUUCACGUUCAAGAGAUAGUUAAAAUAGUAAAAGCUUCCUUUCUUUCUGCUCUGUGGAUUUCACAAAUGGGAUCGUUAGACUUGAACUUUUUUGCUUUUUUAAAGUAGCCAAACAUGAUCACAUGAUGGACUUGAACUUUUCAAAACCCAUUCUGAUACUUCU
rnacentral:lncRNA from 1 species